GAGCGAUGAAAUCUCGCACCCAUCAGUUUCGUAGCGACAUUCACUUCGCUCGGUGUGUUUCAAGAGUUUAGCAGCUCUCGAUGUAGAAGCAAGUCGAGCGCUUUAGCUUUCCCACCUGAGUAAAUCUAUUCUCAUACUUCCCUAUCCGAUACCUUUCACAGCUGUAGUCUAUACAUCGUCGUUUAAUAUUCCGGUAUGUCACACGUUGUCUGAUCAUUUGAAGUGUUGCAUAGUGUAUACUGUUACCGUGUCGUCGCCGUUCCAAGCACAAUGCGCCCUCUGUGACGUGUCUCCGAAUGGUCUCGCAUUUGUAUGGGAAUCGAAAUUAAAAUCUACGGGAACGUUUUUUUGAGGAAGGCCAAUUCCAAGCAUAAUAUAUAGAGAUAGACGCCGAGAGCCGUGAAGCUCAGCUUGUUUAUUUUUGGUCUAUUUUGGGGUUGAAACAAGCAAAGAAAGAAAAGCCGAAUGCAUGAAAAUCAAGCCGUGAAAACUAGUGACAAUUUUUUCUACACAUCCUAGAGGAGUGAAUUGUGUGUGAUGCCUAAAAGCUUAACGAAGUAGAUAACAGUGCAGUGUGAUUUCCUGCUGAAAAUAACACACCGAUAUCAGAGGAAAAAAUUGUGUGAAGUCAUUGACGAAGGAAGCAAAACCUGUGUUCGUGUAGCUAUUUAGAAGAAAAGUGUGAAGUUCGGAAUUGAAACCAAUCAAUCACGGGAAACACCAUGCCACAGU